AGAGUUUGAUCCUGGCUCAGAACGAACGCUGGCGGCAGGCCUAACACAUGCAAGUCGAACGAGAAGCCGGAGCUUGCUCUGGUGGACAGUGGCAGACGGGUGAGUAACGCGUGGGAAUUUGCCUAGUGGUACGGAAUAACGCAGGGAAACUUGUGCUAAUGCCGUAUACGCCCUUCGGGGGAAAGAUUUAUCGCCAUUAGAUAAGCCCGCGUCGGAUUAGCUUGUUGGUGGGGUAAAAGCCUACCAAGGCGACGAUCCGUAGCUGGUCUGAGAGGAUGAUCAGCCACACUGGGACUGAGACACGGCCCAGACUCCUACGGGAGGCAGCAGUGGGGAAUAUUGCACAAUGGGCGCAAGCCUGAUGCAGCCAUGCCGCGUGAGUGAAGAAGGCCUUAGGGUUGUAAAGCUCUUUCAGUGGUGAAGAUAAUGACGGUAGCCACAGAAGAAGCCCCGGCCAACUCCGUGCCAGCAGCCGCGGUAAUACGGAGGGGGCUAGCGUUGUUCGGAUUUACUGG
rnacentral:rRNA from 1 species